rnacentral:rRNA from 1 species
UUGACGGGGGCCCGCACAAGCGGUGGAGCAUGUGGUUUAAUUCGAUGCAACGCGAAGAACCUUACCUACUCUUGACAUCCAGAGAACUUUCCAGAGAUGGAUUGGUGCCUUCGGGAACUCUGAGACAGGUGCUGCAUGGCUGUCGUCAGCUCGUGUUGUGAAAUGUUGGGUUAAGUCCCGCAACGAGCGCAACCCUUAUCCUUGUUUGCCAGCGAGUAAUGUCGGGAACUCCAGGGAGACUGCCGGUGAUAAACCGGAGGAAGGUGGGGACG